rnacentral:rRNA from 1 species
CACAUGCAAGUCGAGCGAGGCCCUUCUUCGGGAGGUGCCCUAGCGGCGAACGGGUGAGUAACACGUGGGCAACCUGCCCUCAGCUCUGGGAUAACUCCAAGAAAUUGGUGCUAAUACCGGAUGUGACCGCUGACCGCAUGGUCUGGUGGUGGAAAGAUUCAUCGGCUGAGGAUGGGCCCGCGGCCUAUCAGCUUGUUGGUGGGGUAAUGGCCCACCAAGGCGACGACGGGUAGCCGGCCUGAGAGGGUGACCGGCCACACUGGGACUGAGACACGGCCCAGACUCCUACGGGAGGCAGCAGUGGGGAAUAUUGCGCAAUGGGCGAAAGCCUGACGCAGCGACGCCGCGUGAGGGAUGACGGCCUUCGGGUUGUAAACCUCUUUCAGUAGGGACGAAGCGCAAGUGACGGUACCUACAGAAGAAGCACCGGCCAACUACGUGCCA